UGAAUUUAUGCUACAUUUGAAGAAAUGCUUCUGAAGAGGGACAGAUGUCCAUCCCCCAAAGAGAGAAAGGCGCAGGAUCCUGUGACUCACUUUUCCUCUGGAUCGGAGGGGAGCAAGCUGUCAUGAAUUCUACAGCCACAAGGAUACGAAUUCUGCCAACAACCUGAGGGAAUGGGGAGGUUUACUCUUUCCUAUUCAAGCUUCCAGUGAGAACUGAGUCCAGCCAAUACCUUGAUUCCCAUCCACUAAAACGUGCCUGGACCAACGGAAGUAGUCAAGUUUGAGUAGCAUACAGCACUUUUCUCACUUCCUCUCCUGAGUGGUUAGAGCGGCUGGCUGCUGUGGCAAUCUCAUUUGUAUUUCCUAGAUUAUCUUCCCUUUUUGAGGGGUUGGGACAGGCUCCUCGUACUGGCCAGGAGGACGAAGGAAGAAGAUGGCAGAACCAGAUGCCAUUGGACUUCCCUCCGGUGCUGGACAGGUCGGCCAACGGGGCCCUGUCUACUACGGCACAGGGUGGAGGCCUCCCAGUUUUGGGUUUCCAGGGCUCUCCAGGGAUGAAUGGAGCCCAUUCUCUCUCAGCCACACAGAAAAUAAAGGGCCAGCUCAGCCCGACUGCAGUUGUUGUAGAGGACAGCCAGCCUCUGUGAGAUCAGUGGAGCCCCCCACCUCAUGAGGUCACAUGUAGUCAUGACAGCACAAUUAAUGCCUCCAAGACAGGAAAAAAUUGCAUCAGGGACUGAAGAACUUUGGAAUUUUUACUUUUUGAAACACAUUCACUACUAAUUCUGUCAUUGAAGAACCUCAAAAUGUCAAACUGAGCAGACUCCCUAUCUCUCACUACUCUGAAAAACCUGGAAAUGAAAUCCACGUGAGUGAAGCCAGCACAUCUACCCUUGUGGAAGUGGAGGACUUUGGUUCCAAGUGGGCAUCACACUCAAAAGGGAGCAUCAGAUCUGCUGAACACAGACCAGACCCUUGGCCCAGCCCCAUCCCUUCCGGCCAAAGACUAGAUCAAGUUCAUCCGUGUGGCCUACGAACCCUUCAGGCUCACCAAAGAGACCGCUAAAUACAGGUGGGUCCAUCCAAUGACGAGGAAGGUCACCCGGCAGAUGGAUGAUGUCAAGUAAGCAGCGGUGGGAGCACGAGGUUAGAGGCUAGAAAGAGAGCCCACAAAGGCAUUAAAAAAUCCAAACCCAGCCCCGAAGCUGUGGCCUAGAGAAAUGUGUGCGGUGGCUGAUAAACACGGAUUUCCUGGCGUGGUGCCGUCCGAGGGCAUCUGGGCUUGAACGAAGUCACACCGCUAAGCCCCCUGGGGAGCGAGAAGAAAAGGCUCGGGGACGUGCUGGCUGGGCUUCUGAGGGACACCACUGCCACCUCGCAGGGCUGUUGUGAGGGCUUGAUGAGUUCACGCACACGGGGCUGAGAACGAGCUCUGCACAUUAUCAGCACCCUGCCGAUGUCGGCUGUUUUUCCAGAGUGACUCUGACACGCAUCCACUCAAAUGAGCUCACAUCUCCCUCGCCAGUGACUCGCUUAACAAGAACCAGCUUUGUGGCCAACGUGUGAGGCCACCUGCGCCCUCCGCCGGAAAGCGCGGCGUCCCAGCUCCGCCCGGCUCGCCGCACAGCCCCACGCUCCCCUCCCCGUGCUUUCCACCACCAGGUCCUCAGGUUAGGGUCGCACAGUGCACCGCAUCCCACUUUUUAUCACAGGCUUCCGAACGCACCCAACAGAGAAGACAGAGGGGGUACAGGAAGAAGGAAAGGACAGGAGAGAGAAGUUUCCAUCUAUCAGGAGGAAACCCCAGACGUGCAAAUUGAUCUCUUCGGCCCCAUGAAUCGUCCCACCUCCAGCAUUCGGUCUGGAUUCUGAAUGAGGUAAUGCUCCAAUUAGAGGCUGGUGCACUUAAGCUGAGAAAGGCAUGAGGUCGUUUAGGCCACUCGGGUGCAAGAAGGCCAAGGGGGUGGUGCUCACCUUUGUACUCGGCCAGACACACACACUCGUAGCCAUUAACGAGGUCCCUGCAGGUGGCUGCGUUCAGGCACGGAGCAGACAGGCACUCGUUGUAUUCCUCCUCGCAGUAGAGGCCGUGGUAACCUGAGGGACGGAGAAAAAGGCCUGCGGUCACACGUGUCCCAAUCACCCCCACACUGGACCAGCCUAGAAGAGAGGCGGCUGGGUAUUGAUCGGAAGCAUGGCAUGGACAGAUGGGAUUUACGGAUUUGAGUCCCUUGGGGUGUAUGGAAACGUGGGUUCCCGGGAAGAGUUUCCUAUGACGAGUCUGUUUUCAUCACCCUCUUUCAUGAUCCCAAGUAUAAAGGAAAUGAUCCGAUUUAUCCACCAGAUGGUCUCAGGAUGACAUCGCGUCCAACGGCACUGGUGACCCGGAGGCCGGGGUCACUGAGUGCAUCUGCUGUGGCUGCAGGAGACGGGGAUGAGAGCAGCAGGGCUCACGGCAUGGAGCAUCAGCUCCUUUCAAGGAUGGGGACCACCCUUCCUCCGACUGGAAAAGUGUUAUCCAGUAACCACAGAGAAUUUUAUUAAAGGAGGAAAGGAUUGAUGUAUUUCCUUUGCUUUUCAGGUCAAGAAGAGACUCAGCUAAAAAAGGCUUUGCUGUAAUUCCUGGUAAAAUCUGGGGUAUUUUUUUUUUAAUUUAAAAUUAUGAUGAUCUCAAUGAUAACAUUUUAAAUUGUACUUUAAAAUGCUAAUGGUUAAAAAUAGAUGAAGAGCAAUGGAGAAAAAGAAACCGACAGUUUCUCAAUAAAGACGGCUUUUACUCUAUUUGCAAAACAGGUGUUUAUUCUAAAGGACAAGAAGACAACAUUCUCUGAGAUUCACUCGUGAAUGUUAUACUGUUUUUAACUUUCAAAAACAUGCGUCAGUGCCAAUUUGCAGUGAAACCGAGCCAUUUUUUUUUUCUGGCCCUGUCCAAACAAUGAGAAACACGUGAGUGCUUUCAAAAAUCACCCUGCCUGUGUUGGUUCUGAAUUCAGAUAAGCAGAAAAAAUAAACCUUUGCUCAAACGGGAACUAGAACUACUAGUUUGAGUAGUUUUUUUUUUUUUCUCCCCAGCUUUCCAACCCAUAGCCAACCUCCAAACCCAGCAAGUUUCAUUAAGACAUGCUAAUGUGUUGAACUGUUUUGUUUUCAGUCCCUGUUGCAAAAGUAGGUUAAACUCAUAUUUGCAUUAUCGACAGAACACUUUUCAAUUGCUAUUGUUUUUGAACUGCUUUCCCAAAUUAGGUGGUGCUAACAGCCCCUCAGAGGAGACCUCGACCUACCUGAGACAAAUAUGCCAUGGUUUUCAAUUGUUCUGUCCUACCCUACUUUUUGUAAUUUUAGGGCAAUAUUUCUCGACACUCUUCAUCAGUAUUUUGAUCAUCCAGAUCAGAGUUUCUCAACUGACAGCAAUUUUGCCCCCAGAAUACAUUUGGCAAUGCUUUUAGAGACACAUUUGGUUGUCACAACCAGGGUGGUAGGGAAGGAGCUGCCCCUGGUACCCAGUGUCAGGGUGCUGUUCAACAUCCUACGGGGCAUAGGACAGCCCUCCACAACAAGCUAUCCAGCUAAAAUGCUAAGAGAGCCAGACAGAGAACCCUGCUCUAGAUCCAGCAAACUCCGGCUCACGGGCCAAAUCCAUCCCAGUCUGGUGUUGUAAAUGAAGUUUUGUUGGGACACAGCCACACUCAUCCAUUUAUGUAUCGUCUCUGGCUGCAUUCCCACUACAAUGGCAGCCUGAGUAGUCGCAACAGAGAUCAUAUGGCUUGCAAAGCCCCAAAUCUUUACUCUCUGGUGUCUUAUACAACAAGUUUGCUGAUUCCUGAUCUACGUUCAACAGAAAAUCUUUCUUCUUACAGGAGUUUUGGAUAUUAACUUCUUAUCAAAUAUGCACACUGCCAACACUUCCUCCCGUUCCAUAGUUGGCUUUUAUUCAGUUGAUUGCUUCCUUUGCCAUGAAGUUUCUUAGUUUGAUAUAGCCGUAUUUGCCUACUUUUACUUUUGUUGCCUCUGCUUUUGGUGUCAUAUCUAAGAAAUCAUUGCCAAGACCAAUGCUAAGAAGUUUUUCCCCCAUAUUUUCUUCAGGGAGUGUUAGAGUUUCACGUCUUACAUUUAGGUCUUGAAUCCAUUUUGAGCUGGGUGUUUUUUUUUUUUUUUUUUUUUUUGUGGAAGAUACAAAUGGCCAACAGGUAUACAAAAAGAUUCUCAGGAUCACUGGUCAAGGAAAUAAAAUCAAA